UACAGAGGGGGCAAGCGUUGUUCGGAAUUACUGGGCGUAAAGGGCGCGUAGGCGGCCUGCUAAGUCGAACGUGAAAUCCCCGGGCUCAACCCGGGAACUGCGUCCGAUACUGGCAGGCUUGAAUCCGGGAGAGGGAUGUGGAAUUGCAGGUGUAGCGGUGAAAUGCGUAGAUAUCUGGAGGAACACCGGUGGCGAAGGCGGCAUCCUGGACCGGCAUUGACGCUGAGGCGCGAAAGCCAGGGGAGCAAACGGG
rnacentral:rRNA from 1 species